rnacentral:tRNA from 1 species
GCCUGGGUGGCUUAGUUGGUUAAGCAUCUGACUUCAGCUCAGGUCACGAUCUCAUGGUUCGUGGGUUUGAGCCCCGCGUCGGGCU